rnacentral:lncRNA from 1 species
AUGCGACGACACUGCUGGGUGAUAGUGCUGGCGGGGAUGUUGUCGUACUUCAACCCAGAGAGAGCCCUUGGAGCCCCGCAGAGAGAAGUCUCUCAAUCCAGGGCUGCAUCUCUCUCUUCUCCGCCCUACGUCGUCAUUCUCAUCUCUUGCUCGGGGCUCGUCUCCUUUGUUUUACUGCUCUUCACCUGUCUGUGCUGUAAGAAGGGAGGAGUGGGAUUCAAUGUAAGUCUCCAUCAUGUAAGAGACUUAUUCACACGUCUUGUCUAUUGUGUUGCACUGUCUGCAUGCAUGUUGUGUAGAUCAAUAGAUAUAGGCAUCAUAUUACACAUUGGCCCUUAGGGAAACUCUAAACAUUGAGGGCUGUAACAAUGUUAAAGCAUAUGGGAAUGUCCUGAUUUGUCAUGGAAGGGCCCAGCACCACAGGGGCGGUGGGCAUCCACAUAAUUCAAACCCUCUAUGAAUCUAUUGUCUUUGAAUCUGUGAUCUUUGGGAUGGUUCAUUGUUUCUUUGGCUGCAUGUGCAGCACCACAUUUUACCAGAAGUAUUACAGAUGUUGCAUGAGCCAGAAAGCUUAGGGUCUGUUUACAUUUAAUAGAUUUCCUCAUAUUAAAUCCAGAUCGGUCUUUCUUUGUGACAUUUCAGCCAGCACACUGGAUGCAUCUCAAUUAUCUAAAGUGGCUCCCCUCCUUCAUCUUAACUAAUGUGAAAACACAGGCAACAAGGGGAAAGUAAUAUGGUGUCUGCCCACCAGUUAUUUGUUUACGCUUGCCCAAUUUCUUUAGAAACGUAAACCACUUUAGGCUAUUGACACAUCCACUAGAAAAGCAGUCACCAACCCUCAUCCUGGAGAGCUUCGGGUGUGUAGGGUUUUGUUCCAGGACAGGCCAGAACUAACACAACGGAUUCAACUAAUCAACUACGGUAAUAAACAAGAGUUUAAUAAACUGAAUCAGGUGUGUUGGUGCUGGGCUGGAACAAAAACCUGCAAACCCUGUAUCUCCCGGGACCAGGCUUGGUGAUCACUGCUUUUCAAACUUACAAUAUCUCUAAUUCUUCUACGCUUCCUCUGUUCUUUCCUGUCAAAUCAGGAGUUUGACAAUGCAGAGGGGGAGGAGUGUUCUGGGGGUUCUAGCCCCGCCCAGGAGGACAGUCUGUCCUCUUGCCCCUCCCUCCCGGAGGUCUACACCCUCCCACUCAGGGACAGGGCUAACUGCCCCGCCCUGCAGGAUGGCUCAGGUAACUAAGGCAGACUCUCUGUAGCUGGAG